rnacentral:rRNA from 1 species
UACGGAGGGGGCCAGCGUUGCUCGGAAUUAUUGGGCGUAAAGGGCGCGUAGGCGGCUUGGUAAGUUUGAUGUGAAAUCCCAUGGCUCAACCAUGGAACUGCAUCUCAUACUGCCGAGCUAGAGUCUGGGAGAGGGAAGCGGAAUUCCCGGUGUAGCGGUGAGAUGCGUAGAUAUCGGGAGGAACACCAGUGGCGAAGGCGGCUUCCUGGACCAGCACUGACGCUGAGGAGCGAAAGCGUGGGGAGCAAACAGG